rnacentral:rRNA from 1 species
UACGGGGGGGGUAAGCGUUGUUCGGAAUUACUGGGCGUAAAGGGCUCGUAGGCGGCCAACUAAGUCGGACGUGAAAUCCCUCAGCUUAACUGGGGAACUGCGUCCGAUACUGGAUGGCUUGGAUUUGGGAGAGGGAUGCGGAAUUCCAGGUGUAGCGGUGAAAUGCGUAGAUAUCUGGAGGAACACCGGUGGCGAAGGCGGCAUCCUGGACCAAUAUUGACACUGAGGCGCGAAAGCCAGGGGAGCAAACGGG